rnacentral:lncRNA from 1 species
GUAAGAGGGUGAGGGAAAGAAAACCAGGGCAGCUGUGAAAAGGUACAAGUUAACACUGCACAAUUGGGAUUCAGUCUUACUGGGGAUCCCCGGGAGAUGAUGGAGAAUACAUCUCUGAGAGAUUUACUUCACAAGGGUGAAGAAAUUGAGAAGUAUAACUUAUGGAACUCAGAAGAGAAGAAAGUAUUAUGUCAUGAAGUGAAUAAGUGAAGAGAAAUAGGCCUAAGACUCGCGUUCAACAGAGAAGCCACGAAAAGCACAGAAAAUCCCAAUGGAAAAAAAUCUCCAAAGUUCACUUGUGAAUCUACUGUCUAAAGACAAUUGCAUAAUGAGGAUUUUUUGUGUGUCUUUUUAGUCUUCUCUUCUUUCUCUCUCCAUUUGUAUACAUGGAGAGUUAUAAAAACAGUAUCAGAUUGUGUAAACAUGUUGGCUGCUGGUUUUCUCACCAUUAUGUUGUGAAUGUGUCAACGUUUUUUCCAUUUGCUUUUUAUUUUUGUUUGAAUGUUCAUGUCUUCUGUGCCUCCCCACAUUCUCUCAACCCCACUGGCUCCUGACACUUCUUUCCCUGCUCAGCCUCAGCCGCUGCCUUGGUAAGUGACUCUGUGGGCACCAACUUGCCACACACCCAGAGCCUCUGGCUCCUUUCACCAUUUCC